rnacentral:tRNA from 2 species
UGUCCUAUGGUGUAAUUGGCAACACGUCUGAUUUUGGUUCAGAAGAGUCUAAGUUCGAGCCUUAGUAGGACAA